AUCACUUCUCGGGCUUUUGGCUAAGGUCAUGUCUGUUCUUGUGAGUUUUAAUAUCUGAUACAUCCCUGACUUAGGGAGUAAAUAUUUAUCUGAUUUUUUGCAGGAAGAAGUUGGUUUACAAGCUUGCUGAACCAACUUCGCACAUCGUCCUGGUAUUGCAGUAUUUCUGGGAAUGGUGCACCCAUU